AAAGGGAGACCUAAUUCAGGUAUGGGAUGAAAAAAAAAUAGUCCCAACCAAGAAUCAAUCCCAAAAGGUCGGAGCGAGGCAAAAUUGGCUUUCAAACUAGGUUCUGGGUUCACACAAGACCUGAAUCAGGAACAAGGGCUAUUAGCUCAGGUGGUUAGAGCGCACCCCUGAUAAGGGUGAGGUCCCUGGUUCGAGUCCAGGAUGGCCCACCUGCACAGGUGGCCAAAACAAAGAAAAAAAGCUCCGAAUCAGCACCUUAUCUUACUUAUAUAGUAAGAGAGAAUGCUGGCUCUGAGUACAGAGUCCAGAGGAACCUUGAAAACUGCAUAGAGCUAGGUGAAAAAGCCAAAAAAGAAGACCGCAAG
rnacentral:tRNA from 1 species